CCUACGGGAGGCAGCAGUGAGGAAUAUUGGUCAAUGGGCGCGAGCCUGAACCAGCCAAGUAGCGUGAAGGAUGACUGCCCUACGGGUUGUAAACUUCUUUUAUAAAGGAAUAAAGUGAGGCACGUGUGCCUUUUUGUAUGUACUUUAUGAAUAAGGAACGGCUAACUCCGUGCCAGCAGCCGAGGUAAUACGGAGGAUCCGAGCGUUAUCCGGAUUUAUUGGGUUUAAAGGGAGCGUAGAUGGGUUGGUAAGGCAGUUGUGAAAGUUUGCGGCUCAACCGUUAAAUUGCAAUUGAUACUGGCCGUCUUGAGUACAGUUGAGGUCGGCGGAAUUCGUGGUGGAGCGGUGAAAUGCUUAGAUAUCACGAAGAACUCCGAGUUCGAAGGCCGCUUACUAAACUGCCACUGACAUUGAUGCUCGAAAGUGUGGGUAUCAAACAGGAUUAGAUACCCUAGUAGUC
rnacentral:rRNA from 1 species